UGAGUAACACGUAUCCAACCUGCCGUCUACUCUUGGCCAGCCUUCUGAAAGGAAGAUUAAUCCAGGAUGGCAUCAUGAGUUCACAUGUCCGCAUGAUUAAAGGUAUUUUCCGGUAGACGAUGGGGAUGCGUUCCAUUAGAUAGUAGGCGGGGUAACGGCCCACCUAGUCAACGAUGGACAGGGGUUCUGAGAGGAAGGUCCCCCACAUUGGAACUGAGACACGGUCCAA
rnacentral:rRNA from 1 species